UCCUGAGGAAGGCUCGUCCGCUCAGGGUUAGUCGGGACCUAAGCCGAGGCCGAUAGGCGUAGGCGAUGGACAACAGGUUGAUAUUCCUGUACCACCUCCUCACCGUUUGAGAAAUGGGGGGACGCAGUAGGAUAGGGUAAGCGCGCUGUUGGAUAUGCGCGUCCAAGCAGUAAGGCGUGUGUGUAGGCAAAUCCGCACACUGUAACGUUGAGCUGUGAUGGCGAGUCCGUAUGGACGAAGUUCCUGAUUUCACACUGCCAAGAAAAGCCUCUAUCGAGGUGAGAGGUGCCCGUACCGCAAACCGACACAGGUAGUCGAGGAGAGAAGCCUAAGGUGUGCGAGAGAACUCUCGUUAAGGAACUCGGCAAAAUGACCCCGUAACUUCGGGAGAAGGGGUGCUCUUGAGCGUGCAAGCGCAUGAGAGCCGCAGUGAAUAGGCCCAGGCGACUGUUUAGCAAAAACACAGGUCUCUGCAAAACCGUAAGGUGACGUAUAGGGGCUGACGCCUGCCCGGUGCUGG
rnacentral:rRNA from 1 species